GACGAACGCUGGCGGCGUGCUUAACACAUGCAAGUCGAACGGACAGACGCUGCUUUUGUGGGGUGCUCGUGUGGCGCACGGGUGAGUAUCACGUGAGUAACCUGUCCUUGUCUUUGGGAUAAAUUCAGGGAACUGGGGAUAAUAUCGGAUAGGAGCUCUUGCUGCAUGGUGGUGGAUGGUAAGUUUCGGCGGUUGGGGAUGGUCUCGCGGCUUAUCAGCUUGAUGGUGGGGUAGUUGCUUACCAAGCUUUCGACGGGUAGCCGGCCUGAGAGGGUGACCGGCCACAUUGGGACUGAGAGACGGCCCAGACGCCUACGGGACGCAGCGGUGGGGAAUAUGGCGCAACGGGCGGAAGCCUGAUGCAGAGACGCCGGGUUCGGGAUGAUGGCUUUCGGGUUGUAAACCGCUGUCGCCUUUGACGAGGCGGGAGUGACGGUAAUGGGUAAAGAAGCACCGGCUAACUACGUG
rnacentral:rRNA from 1 species